rnacentral:tRNA from 1 species
AGUGAAGUGCCUGAUUAAAGGAUUAUUUUGAUAGAAUAAAUUAUACACAAUGUGUCUUCACUA